rfam:Salmo salar isolate Sally breed double haploid chromosome ssa25, whole genome shotgun sequence.
UAGCUCAGUUGGUAGAGCAUGGUGUUUGCAACGCCAGGGUUGUGGGUUCGUUUCCCAU